rnacentral:rRNA from 1 species
GUGAGGAAUAUUGCGCAAUGGACGGAAGUCUGACGCAGCAACGCCGCGUGGGCGAAGAAGGCCUUCGGGUCGUAAAGCCCUUUUCUGAGGGACGAGGCAGGACGGUACCUCAGGAAUCAGUCUCGACUAACUACGUGCCAGCAGCCGCGGUAAAACGUAGGAGGCAAGCGUUAUCCGGAUUUAUUGGGCGUAAAGCGCAUGCAGGUGGUUCCGCAAGUCGGGUGUGAAAGCUCCUGGCUUAACUGGGAGAGGUCGUUCGAAACUGCGGGACUGGAGGUCGGAAGAGGGAAGCGGAAUUCCCGGUGUAGUGGUGGAAUGCGUAGAUAUCGGGAGGAACACCAGUGGCGAAAGCGGCUUCCUGGUCCGCACCUGACACUCAGAUGCGAAAGCGUGGGGAGCGAACGGGAUUAGAAACCCUGGUAGUCC